rnacentral:tRNA from 1 species
GCCUGAAUGGUGGAAUAGGUAGACACGUGGGACUUAAAAUCCCAUGGUUUUUAGAGCCGUGCCGGUUCAAGUCCGGCUUCAGGUACCA